rnacentral:lncRNA from 1 species
AAUAGCAAAUAGAUUGAUAGAUGCUUGGUUUAUUCAUUGUAGACUACGAUUAAGAGCUCAUACUCUAAUUUGGAGUUAAAAGCUAGGUAAAAUUUAGAGUCUUUUGCUUCUAAAUUUAUAGAAUUUGCUCUAAGUAACUCACCAAUUUUUUUUGCUAUUUGUUAUAAUACUCUCCAAAACUCAUUUAAGAUUUGUUUUACUAUGAUCAAUAUAGAGAUUCUAUAGUUGUAUGCAGUUAUAUUUCUUUAUCUUAGACUCUUCCUUAA